AAACACCCUCAACCUUUUCUUUAUUGAAAAGGUUGGACUUGAGUGAUCCCAACGGUUUUUUUUAAAAGGCUGGCGGGUUGCUUGAAAUGCAGGUGCGGCUGGACACAUCUUCUGAGCUAUAAGCAUUACCUAUUUAGUCCCGUCAAACGGAUUAUUUCUAUUGCUACAGCUAAUAUAAAGGUUGAUUGUCCUGUGCCCGACUGAUGCAGGAAAACAUGGAGAAAUCCUUGUUCAAC
rnacentral:misc_RNA from 1 species